rnacentral:siRNA from 1 species
GCACCAAGGUUGGAGGAGCGGUCUAG